rnacentral:rRNA from 1 species
UACGUAGGGGGCAAGCGUUGUCCGGAAUCAUUGGGCGUAAAGCGCGCGUAGGCGGCUCGAUCAGUCUGCUGUAAAAGUCAAAGGCUCAACUUUUGAAUGCCGGUGGAUACUGUCGGGCUAGAGUCCGGAAGAGGCGAGUGGAAUUCCUGGUGUAGCGGUGGAAUGCGCAGAUAUCAGGAGGAACACCAACGGCGAAGGCAGCUCGCUGGGACGGUACUGACGCUAAGGCGCGAAAGCGUGGGGAGCGAACAGG